rnacentral:rRNA from 1 species
UACGUAGGGUGCAAGCGUUAAUCGGAAUUACUGGGCGUAAAGCGUGCGCAGGCGGUUUUGCAAGACAGAUGUGAAAUACCCGGGCUCAACCUGGGAACGGCAUUUGUGACUGCAAGGCUAGAGUGUGUCAGAGGGGGGUAGAAUUCCACGUGUAGCAGUGAAAUGCGUAGAGAUGUGGAGGAAUACCGAUGGCGAAGGCAGCCCCCUGGGAUAACACUGACGCUCAUGCACGAAAGCGUGGGGAGCAAACAGG